ACGAACCGUGCAAACGUUAUUCGGAAUCACUGGGCUUAAAGCGCGUGUAGGCGGAAUGGUGCGUCGGUUGCUGAAAUCCCCCGGCUCAACCGGGGAACGGGCGCCGAAACGGCCAUUCUUGAGGAACGUAGGGGGACCUGGAACUUCCGGUGGAGCGGUGAAAUGCGUUGAGAUCGGAAGGAACGCCAGUGGCGAAAGCGAGGUCCUGGACGUUAACUGACGCUGAGACGCGAAAGCCAGGGGAGCGAACGGGAUUAGAUACCCCGGUAGUCCUGGCCGUAAACGAUGGGCACUGGGUAGGGGGUUCGCCGAUGGACUCCCUGCCGUAGGGAAACCGUGAAGUGCCCCGCCUGGGGAGUAUGGUCGCAAGGCUG
rnacentral:rRNA from 1 species